rnacentral:rRNA from 1 species
AUUGAACGCUGGCGGCAUGCCUUACACAUGCAAGUCGAACGGCAGCACGGACUUCGGUCUGGUGGCGAGUGGCGAACGGGUGAGUAAUGUAUCGGAACGUACCUUUCAGUGGGGGAUAACGUAGCGAAAGUUACGCUAAUACCGCAUAUUCUGUGAGCAGGAAAGCAGGGGAUCGCAAGACCUUGCGCUGAUUGAGCGGCCGAUAUCAGAUUAGCUAGUUGGUGGGGUAAAGGCCUACCAAGGCGACGAUCUGUAGCGGGUCUGAGAGGAUGAUCCGCCACACUGGAACUGAGACACGGUCCAGACUCCUACGGGAGGCAGCAGUGGGGAAUUUUGGACAAUGGGGGCAACCCUGAUCCAGCCAUGCCGCGUGAGUGAAGAAGGCCUCGGGUUGU